GAGAGAAGCCAGGUCAGGCACCAGAUCCUGCCUGGGAAAGGACCAGACACCUAGCGCAGAGACAUCACGGGAGAGUCCCAGGACAGCUGAAUGGAGGACGGUCACCUCCAGAGCUAGACAGUGAGUGGCUGUGACUGCUUCCCCAACACAACUGGGGAACAGACAUGAAGUCCUGGCAGCACUGGAGGAUGAUGCACCAGAGGAAGCUGCAGGGGAAGACAUGUCUGCAACACACACCAGGCAGGCUGAGUGACAACCGAGCAGCCAGAGGAAGAGACACCAACGGUCGCUGUCAGCAUCAGGAUGCUUGCAUCAAGGAAGUCAACGUGCAGCUCCGGAGUUGGUGCCACUAUGUGGGUUUUGAUUUCUACAAACAUGAUCU